UUAAUUGAAGCCAAAACCAGAGGCAACUUAAUGUUAAUAAGUUAAUUGAUUUAUGAUUCCAAUUAAA
rnacentral:tRNA from 1 species